AUGACGAAGAGCUUGCUCUUUUGAUUAGUGGCGCACGGGUGAGUAUACCAUAGAUAAUGUACCCCUUAGUUCGGGAUAGCCACUGGAAACGGUGAUUAAUACCGGAUACUCCUUCUCAUUAUAAGAUGAGUCGGGAAAGUUUUUUCGCUAAGGGAUCAGUCUAUGUCCUAUCAGCUAGUUGGUGAGGUAAUGGCUCACCAAGGCUAUGACGGGUAUCUGGUUUGAGAGGAUGAUCAGACACACUGGAACUGAGACACGGUCCAGACUCCUACGGGAGGCAGCAGUGAGGAAUAUUGCACAAUGGAGGAAACUCUGAUGCAGCAACGCCGCGUGGAGGAUGACGCAUUUCGGUGUGUAAACUCCUUUUAUUAGGGAAGAUAAUGACGGUACCUAAUGAAUAAGCACCGGCUAACUCCGUGCCAGCAGCCGCGGUAAUACGGAGGGUGCAAGCGUUACUCGGAAUCACUGGGCGUAAAGGGUGCGUAGGCUGGCUUCUAAGUCAGAUGUGAAAUCCAAUGGCUCAACCAUUGAACUGCAUUUGAAACUGGGAGCCUAGAGUUCAGAAGGGGCAGAUGGAAUUAGUGGUGUAGGGGUAAAAUCCGUAGAUAUCACUAGGAAUAUCAAAAGCGAAGGCGAUCUGCUGGGAUGAUACUGACGCUGAGGCACGAAAGCGUGGGGAGCAAACAGGAUUAGAUACCCUGGUAGUCCACGCCCUAAACGAUGAAUGCUAGUCGUCGGGAAGCUCGUCUUUUCGGUGACGCACUUAACAGAUUAAGCAUUCCGCCUGGGGAGUACGGUCGCAAGAUUAAAACUCAAAGGAAUAGACGGGGACCCGCACAAGUGGUGGAGCAUGUGGUUUAAUUCGAAGAUACACGAAGAACCUUACCUGGCCUUGACAUCCCAAGAACUUUCCAGAGAUGGAUUGGNGCUA
rnacentral:rRNA from 1 species